rnacentral:rRNA from 1 species
UGCGUAGGCGGGCUAAUAAGUCAGUGGUGAAAUCUCUCGGCUCAACCGGGAAACUGCCAUUGAUACUGUUAGUCUUGAGUUCGGUUGAGGUAGGCGGAAUGUGUAAUGUAGCGGUGAAAUGCUUAGAUAUUACACAGAACACCAAUUGCGUAGGCAGCUUACUAGACCGACACUGACGCUGAGGCACGAAAGCGUGGGGAGCGAACAGGAUUAGAUAACCUGGUAGUCC